UUAACGCCAAGAACCUUACCAAGGCUUGACAUGAACCGGAAAGGCGUAGAAAUACGUCCCCCACUUGUGGUCGGUUUACAGGUGGUGCAUGGUUGUCGUCAGCUCGUGUCGUGAGAUGUUGGGUUAAGUCCCGCAACGAGCGCAACCCUCGUUCUAUGUUGCCAGCACGUGAUGGUGGGGACUCAUAGGAGACUGCCGGGGUCAACUCGGAGGAAGGUGGGGAUGACGUCAAAUCAUCAUGCCCCUUAUGUCUUGGGCUUCACGCAUGCUACAGUGGCCGGUACAAAGGGUUGCGAUACUGUGAGGUGGAGCUAAUCCCAAAAAGCCGGUCUCAGUUCGGAUUGGGGUCUGCAACUCGACCCCAUGAAGUCGGAGUCGCUAGUAAUCGCAGAUCAGCAACGCUGCGGUGAAUACGUUCCCGGGCCUUGGUACACACCG
rnacentral:rRNA from 1 species